UGAGGGAUGACGGCUAYGGGUUGUAAACUCUUUUUUCAGGGARGAAUAAAUGACGUGUACCUGAAGAAUAAGCAUCSGCUAACUCCGUGCCAGCAGCCGCGGUAAGACGGAGGAUGCAAGUGUUAUCCGGAAUCACUGGGCGUAAAGCGUCUGUAGGUKGUUUAAUAAGUCAACUGUUAAAUCUUAAGGCUCAACCUUGAAAUCGCAGUCGAAACUAUUAGACUAGAGUAUAGUAGGGGUAAAGGGAAUUUCCAGUGGAGCGGUGAAAUGCGUAGAUAUUGGAAAGAACACCGRUGGCGAAGGCACUUUACUGGGCUAUUACUAACACUCAGAGACGAAAGCUAGGGUAGCMAAUGGGAUUAGAUACCCCAGUAGUCCUAGCCGUAAACCAAUGGAUACUAGAUGUUGAACAGAUCGACCUGUGCAGUAUCAAASSUAACGCGUUAAGUAUCCCGCCUGGGAAGUAUGCUCGCCAGARUU
rnacentral:rRNA from 1 species